CCUCUACCUCCCAGGUUCAAGCAAUUCUCUGCCUCAGCCUCCCGAGUAGCUGGGAUUACAGGUGCCCGCUACCACGCCUGGCUAAUUUUUGUUUUAGUAGAGACGGGGUUUCACCAUCUUGGCCAGGCUGGUCUUGACCUCCUGACCUUGUGAUCUACCCACCUCGGCCUCCCAAAGUGCUGGGUUUACAGGCGUGAGCUACCAUACCGGGCCUGUUUCAACAUCUUUAAGAACUAGAAGUGAAGAAAAAGAUGUUAGGAAUUGGAAACAGACUCGUAGUCUUGUAGCUGAGAAGUUCCUAAAAACCUCAGCCGCUCCCCACCUCUCCCAACACAGCGAAGUCAGGACUUUUAAGACGAAGACCUGGGAUUUCGCGCCCCGGGCAAAACGUCUCAUCUGCGGACACGCGUGCCUUGUUCUGGCAGCACCCUGGGAAUCCUUCCCGCCAAACGGGACAGGACGAUCUUUUUGAAAAGUGGCUUGAAAUCCUGCAAUAAAAAUCAAAUCCUACCACUUUGGGUGCAAAGGGGGUGGGUGGGGUGGGAGGACAUCACAGUCGUCUUUGCUGGUGUACCUACGCCAACCGUGGCGUUGCUCAUUUACGCAUUUCC
rnacentral:lncRNA from 10 species